UAGGGAAUCUUCCGCAAUGGACGCAAGUCUGACGGAGCAACGCCGCGUGAGUGAAGAAGGAUUUCGGUUCGUAAAACUCUGUUGUUAGAGAAGAACAGCGCAUAGAGUAACUGUUAUGCGUGUGACGGUAUCUAACCAGAAAGCCACGGCUAACUACGUGCCAGCAGCCGCGGUAAUACGUAGGUGGCAAGCGUUGUCCGGAUUUAUCGGGCGUAAAGCGAGCGCAGGCGGUCAAUUAAGUCUGAUGUGAAAGCCCCCGGCUCAACCGGGGAGGGGCAUUGGAAACUGGUUGACUUGAGUGCAGAAGAGGAGAGUGGAAUUCCAUGUGUAGCGGUGAAAUGCGUAGAUAUAUGGAGGAACACCAGUGGCGAAGGCGACUCUCUGGUCUGUAACUGACGCUGAGGCUCGAAAGCGUGGGUAGCAAACAGG
rnacentral:rRNA from 1 species